rnacentral:lncRNA from 1 species
GGGUCCCUACCUCCGUUCUACCAGAAGACCCUCGAGACUCGCAGUCGAGAGGACCUCCUGGAUCAAAGAUUUCAAGAGAUGAACCGACGGAUCGAGGAGCUCAUCAAACAAGGUCAGCUCGACAGAUUCAUCCGACGCCGAUCUGAAGGUAGGGAGGAUCGAUCGAGGGUCCUACCACAGUCAGAGCCACCAAGGAGGGAGGAACAGCCUGAAGAUCGGUCUCCAAUCGAGAUCAUCAACACCAUCUCUGGAGGACCC